GACAGAGGGGGCAAGCGUUGCUCGGAAUCACUGGGCGUAAAGGGCGCGUAGGCGGGAUGGCAAGUCAGUCGUGAAAUCUCUCGGCUCAACCGAGAAACGUCGGCUGAUACUGCCGUUCUUGAGGGAUGCAGAGGAGACUGGAAUUCCCGGUGUAGCGGUGAAUGUGUAGAGAUCGAGAGGAACACCAGUGGCGAAGGCGAGUCUCUGGACGACACCUGACACUGAGGCACGAAAGCUAGGGGAGCAAACAGG
rnacentral:rRNA from 1 species